GAGGUCUCAAGCGUUGUUCGGAUUCAUUGGGCGUAAAGGGUGCGUAGGCGGCGCGGUAAGUCGGGUGUGAAAUCUCGGAGCUUAACUCCGAAACUGCAUUCGAUACUGCCGUGCUUGAGGACUGGAGAGGAGACUGGAAUUUACGGUGUAGUGGUGAAAUGCGUAGAUAUCGUAAGGAAGACCAGUGGCGAAGGCGGGUCUCUGGACAGUUCCUGACGCUGAGGCACGAAGGCCAGGGGAGCAAACGGGAUUAGAUACCCCGGUAGUCCUGGCAGUAAACGGUGCACGUUUGGUGUGGGAGGAUUCGACCCCUUCUGCGCCGGAGCUAACGCGUUAAACGUGCCGCCUGGGGAGUACGGUCGCAAGAUUAAAACUCAAAGAAAUUGACGGGGGCCCGCACAAGCGGUGGAGUAUGUGGCUCAAUUCGAUGCAACGCGAAGAACCUUACCUGGCCUUGACAUGCAUCUCUAAGCGCGUGAAAGCGCGUGAGUCCCGAAAGGGACAAUUUGCACAGGUGCUGCAUGGCUGUCGUCAGCUCGUGUCGUGAGAUGUUGGGUUAAGUCCCGCAACGAGCGCAACCCCUGUGAACUGUUGCCACCGAGCCGUGAGGCUCGAGCACUCUGUUCAGACUGCCCCGCUCUAACGGGGAGGAAGGUGGGGACGUCGUCAAGUCAGUAUGGCCCUUACGGCCAGGGCUGCACACGUACUACAAUGCCCAGUACAGAAGGAUCCUAGACCGCGAGGUGGAGGAAAUCACUAAAACUGG
rnacentral:rRNA from 1 species